rnacentral:rRNA from 1 species
AAGUCGAGCGGUACAUUUCUAGCUUGCUAGAAGAUGACGAGCGGCGGACGGGUGAGUAAUGCUUGGGAAUAUGCCUUAUGGUGGGGGACAACAGUUGGAAACGACUGCUAAUACCGCAUAAUGUCUACGGACCAAAGGGGGGGAUCUUCGGACCUCUCGCCAUUUGAUUAGCCCAAGUGAGAUUAGCUAGUUGGUGAGGUAAUGGCUCACCAAGGCGACGAUCUCUAGCUGGUUUGAGAGGAUGAUCAGCCACACUGGGACUGAGACACGGCCCAGACUCCUACGGGAGGCAGCAGUGGGGAAUAUUGCACAAUGGGCGCAAGCCUGAUGCAGCCAUGCCGCGUGUGUGAAGAAGGCCUUCGGGUUGUAAAGCACUUUCAGUAAGGAGGAAAGGGAUGUAGUUAAUAACUGCAUUCUGUGACGUUACUUACAGAAGAAGCACCGGCUAACUUCGUGCCAGCAGCCGCGGUAAUACGAGGGGUGCAAGCGUUAAUCGGAAUUACUGGGCGUAAAGCGUUCGUAGGCGGUUGAUUAAGCAAGAUGUGAAAGCCCAGGGCUCAACCUUGGAACUGCAUUUUGAACUGGUCAACUAGAGUACUGUAGAGGGUGGUGGAAUUUCCA